CCUACGUGAGGCAGCAGUGGGGAAUAUUGGGCAAUGGGCGCAAGCCUGACCCAGCAACGCCGCGUGAAGGAAGAAGGCUUUCGUGUUGUAAACUUCUUUUCUCAGGGACGAAACAAGUGACGGUACCUGAGGAAUAAGCCACGGCUAACUACUGGCCAGCAGCCGCGUUAAUAAGUAGGUGGGAAGCGUUAUCCGGAUUUACUGGGUGUAAAGGGCGUGGAGGCGGGACUGCACGUCAGAGGGUAAAACCAUUGGCUAAACCUAGGGCCUGCAUGUGAAACUGUAGUGCUUGAGUACUGGAGAGGCAGACGGAAUUCCUAGUGUAGCGGUGAAAUGCGUAGAUAUUAGGAGGAACACCAGUGGCGAAGGCGGUCUGCUGGACAGCAACUGACGCUGAGGCGCGAAAGCGUGGGGAGCAAACAGGAUUAGAUACCCUGGUAGUC
rnacentral:rRNA from 1 species